AGUGAACGCUGGCGGUAGGCCUAACACAUGCAAGUCGAACGGCAGCACAGUAAGAGCUUGCUCUUACGGGUGGCGAGUGGCGGACGGGUGAGGAAUACAUCGGAAUCUACUUUUUCGUGGGGGAUAACGUAGGGAAACUUACGCUAAUACCGCAUACGACCUACGGGUGAAAGCAGGGGAUCUUCGGACCUUGCGCGAUUGAAUGAGCCGAUGUCGGGUUAGCUAGUUGGCGGGGUAAAGGCCCACCAAGGCGACGAUCCGUAGCUGGUCUGAGAGGAUGAUCAGCCACACUGGAACUGAGACACGGUCCAGACUCCUACGGGAGGCAGCAGUGGGGAAUAUUGGACAAUGGGCGCAAGCCUGAUCCAGCCAUACCGCGUGGGUGAAGAAGGCCUUCGGGUUGUAAAGCCCUUUUGUUGGGAAAGAAAAGCAGCAGGUUAAUACCCCGCUGUUCUGACGGUACCCAAAGAGUAAGCACCGGCUAACUUCGUG
rnacentral:rRNA from 1 species